UUCCCGAUCCGUCUUGUCCAUAUCUUUUUUGCGCAAAUACUCCCUUUCUCGUGCAUACUCAGCUUGAAGGGCCAACUCGUUAUCUUGGCAUUUUGCUCCAUUUCUAUUCUUAUGCUGUUUUGCCUUGCAAUUUCCUCCAAAAAUUUUGAAUUAUUAUUGCUUGAAUUACCCGCUUUCUUUGCCUUCGCGCCUUUCGACCAAUGGGCCUCGGCUCCUUUUCAAUGGGUGAGUCUUCACUCAUAGGAGAAUCGAGAGGUGAAUCCAAUGUCAUUGAAUCACGGAGUGGCAUCUCGUUUAACACACCGGCGGGACCCGUCGGAAUAAUUAUGAAGCGUUUGCAAUAUUUCACCACCUCCCAACAUUCAUGAUGGUUGAAACUUUUUUUGCCACCCCC
rnacentral:lncRNA from 1 species